rnacentral:rRNA from 1 species
AGCGAACGCUAGCGGCGAGCUUAACACAUGCAAGUCGAGCGGAGGGUUUCGGCCCUCAGCGGCGGACGGGUGAGUAACACGUAGGUUACGUGCCCUUUGGUGGGGAAUAACUUAGGGAAACCUGAGCUAAUACCGCAUAUGCCCUUCGGGUGAAAGUCUUCGGACGCCAGAGGAUCGGCCUGCGGCCCAUUAUUUAAUCCUUGUUGGUGGGGUAACGGCCUACCAAGGGUACGAUGGGUAGCUGGUCUGAGAGGAUGAUCAGCCACACUGGGACUGAGACACGGCCCAGACUCCUACGGGAGGCAGCAGUGGGGAAUAUUGGACGAAUGGGGGAAACCCUGAUCCAGCUACGCCGCGUGGGUGAUGAAGG